GGCCCGCUGGCCUAAUGGUAAGGCGUCAGAUUUCGGUGAUCGAAAAAUACUCUGAAGAUUGUGCGUUCGAGCCGCACGUGGGUCG